rnacentral:lncRNA from 1 species
CUCCAUGAAAUCCCCAUUGCAAUAACUUCCUCAAUUGCCGCAACAGCUACCAACCUUACCCCAAACACGAAGUUGCAUGUCUCAUUAAUGAUUGACCACCAGGUCUACUCUCUAGUAGCCUAGCAAUGAUCGUUUAACAGUAACAGUGGGACAUUUUUUCAUGUAGGGACUGUUCCAGCUGUUUUAUGUGAUAUUUUACAGCAAAUUCAGAUUCAGAAAAGAUGUUCUUAUGUCCAUUGGCAAUAUUACAAUCAGAACAAUAAUGCUGAACAUAUGGCAAAGAUGACGCUGAUUAUUGGAGCCACUCCCUUAAUUGAUCACACUUACUGUAGGCUAGUAGUUAUCUAUUUCUCUCUCUCUCUCUCUCUCUCUCUCUCUCUCUCUCUCUCUCUCUCUCUGUCUCUCUCUCUGUCUCUCUCGCUCUCCCCUCUCUCUCUCUCUUUCUGUCUCACUAUCUUGUUCUCUCUCGCUCUAAAUGUUCAAUUCCAGGGCUUUAUUGGCAUGGGAAACACAUGUUUACAUUGCCAAAAAAUCCCAAAGCUUGGUGAGUCAGGAUGUCUGCGUCUCCUCCUCCUUGUCAGGCCAUUACUUUGAUUAUUUCCCUGAAGAGAUGAAUUCCAACUGCAUCUUUCAGCCGCGGUCCAUUCCAGAGAGCAACGUCCAGAAGGACAGCUUCGAUAAUCAACACUUGAUAAGCAUGAUGAUCCCCAACGAGACCUACAGCAGUGGUAUUCUGCAUCCCGCUACCUCAACAACACUUUGGCGCCAGGAAAAUCACUCCCCGAAUAUGGGCUAUUACGGCCAUGGCAUGGCUCCCAGCUCACCAUCAGGUUCCCUGAAUAUGUCAAGUCCGGUCGAUUACAAUAGUUAUUCGCCACAGGAGUCUUACUCUUCGUCGUGUUACAACUCUCCGACGAGGCUGGACUUGAGUUAUGGGUUUGUUCCAGAGCACUACCACUACCAGAACUGCAACCUCCAGGAGAGCGUCUCCACUCCAGAAUACGCACCUUAUGGCACAUCAGACUAUGUAUACGCCUUGCCUGCGGAGGACAGCUACUUCAGGCGUGAUUUGUCAAAUUCAGAGAUGUGCUACCUUUGAAUAUUUAUUCGGUCUUUGUUGUCUGUGUAAAUACAGUAUAGUGUACAGUCAAAACAAUGUCUGUAACUCGAUGUCAAACGUUGACACUUGUGGCACUUGUUUUGAGAUGUAGGCCUGCUUUGCAUUUCAGAGUGUUUGCGGUCGAAGUUUCCUCCGAGUGUCUGUUUUUGAUAUGAUUGGAAUAAUGGUUUUAGAAUUCCCGAGAUUGGAUAAAUGUUGGAUAUGUGUGGGCUUAGUGCUAUCUUCUUAGUUAUUGACUUUGAUAUUUAAGCAAUAAGGCACGAGGGGGUGUGGUUUAUGGUCAAAAUACCACGGCCAAGGGCUGUUCUAAUCUCGAUGCAACGCGGAGUGCCUGGAUAUUGGCCAUAUACCACAAAUGCCCUAGGUGCCUUCAUGCUAUUAUGAACUGGUUACCAACAUAAUUAGAGCAGUAAAAAUAAAUGUUUUGUCAUACCAAUGGUAUAGGGUCUGAUAUACCACGGCUGUCAGCCAAGCAGCAUUCAGGGCUUGAACCAAGUUUAUAAAUAUAUAUAUACAAUUCUAAUGAUGUCAUCCUGCUUUUUUACAAGACAGUAUAUUUUUUCAGCAUAUUUUUUCUUAUGGAUGCAUUCAUUUUGUAAAUGAAUUGAAAAGCCUACCCAAAGGAAAUUAGCAGCAUCAUCCCCUUCAACUCACUAUUUAGUUUCCCUGUGCAGAUGCACACCGAUGCUUAGUUAGAAACAUUAACUUAAAUAGAUCAAUCAUUCAAAUAAAAGUGUCUAAUAAACCAAGAUAAAUUACAAUAGACAAACGGUAAUGAUCUAGAAUUUUUUAUAGUGCUUGUCAUUGCAAAAAUAAUCUCAAAACCCACUGACAAAAGAAGAAAAACAAAACAAUAAGGUUAACAUUGACCGCUCUUGAUGUGGAAAAAUGAUCUUCCAUGGAGGCAGACGCAAGUGCACGUCGCAUCAGGUCACAUCCAACUCAAGAGACGCCUGUCUCCACUCUACCCUCCUUGCACACCAUCCUCUGCCUCGGGAUCCAAGUCUCCUCCGAGGCCGAGAUAAAGCGGGGUUGAGCAGGGAUAGAAGUAGGCCUGCCUGUCCAAAAUGAUCAUAUUGUUACAUAUUACCAAAAACACGCACCAAUAAAAGAUAACUACUUGGAUAAGGAUUUCAUGUUUUUAUGACACACAACAGGUCAAAGGGGGUUUGAUAAUCGCGCACGAGUUUUGUGUAAUGGAAAGCAUAAUCCAGUGCCUG